rnacentral:rRNA from 1 species
GUGGGGAAUCUUAGACAAUGGGCGCAAGCCUGAUCUAGCCAUGCCGCGUGAGCGAUGAAGGCCUUAGGGUUGUAAAGCUCUUUCGCUGGGGAAGAUAAUGACUGUACCCAGUAAAGAAGCCCCGGCUAACUCCGUGCCAGCAGCCGCGGUAAUACGGAGGGGGCUAGCGUUGUUCGGAAUUACUGGGCGUAAAGCGCGCGUAGGCGGAUUGGAAAGUUGGGGGUGAAAUCCCGGGGCUCAGCCUCGGAACUGCCUUCAAAACUCCCAGUCUUGAGUUCGAGAGAGGUGAGGGGAAUUCCGAGUGUAGAGGUGAAAUUCGUAGAUAUUCGGAGGAACACCAGUGGCGAAGGCGGCUCACUGGCUCGAUACUAACGCUGAGGUGCGAAAGCGUGGGGAGCAAACAGGAUUAGAAACCCGAGUAGUCC